UGCUGCUCACAGGAAAUACCUUCUAAGCAUACGGGGAUUAGGGCUAAAAAGUGUCGAGUGUGUUCGCCUCCUAGCACUUCAAAAUGUGGCUUUCCCCGUUGAUACCAAUGUUGCCCGCAUAACUGUAAGAUUAGGAUGGGUGCCACUCAAGCCGUUACAAGAGUUCCUUCAACUACAUCUCUUAGAACAAUAUGAGCUACAUUAUCACACAUGAUUACUUUUGGAAAGGUAUUUUGUACAAAAAGCAAGCCAAACUGUAAAGUUUGUCCAAUGAGAGGAGAGUGCAAGCACUUUAAUAGAUUUUGUAGCUACGCUAUUCAGUUCGAAAUAAUGAAGUUGAAUUGUUGCGAUAAAUGAAGGAAUCUUAUCUUCAAUGGCACACUAUUGACUAAAUUAA